UACGAAGGGGGCUAGCGUUGUUCGGAAUUACUGGGCGUAAAGCGCGUGUAGGCGGUUAUCCAAGUCGAGUGUGAAAGCCCCCGGCUCAACUGGGGAGGGUCACUCGAUACUGAUCGACUUGAAGGCAGGAGAGGGAAGCGGAAUUCCCGGUGUAGUGGUGAAAUGCGUAGAUAUCGGGAGGAACACCAGUGGCGAAGGCGGCUUCCUGGCCUGUUCUUGACGCUGAGGCGCGAAAGCUAGGGGAGCAAACGGG
rnacentral:rRNA from 1 species